rnacentral:lncRNA from 1 species
UGAACGUAAGCAUUCUUGGAACGCUCACUUUUCGUUUCCCUGUGCUUUUGCUGGGUUUUUUCUUUCGCUUUCCUUUUCGUUUUAUCAUGUUUUCUUCCGAUGUUAAAAUUUCAGUAGAUUGUUUCCUUCGUUGUUUGUUGACAACUUCAGGCAAUGGAGAUAUGAUAUGCAGAAAUUUUGAAGGUGAAUCAACUGCAUCUUUGGAAUUUUGGGCAGUCUGUAACUUAAAAAAUUUUACUCAAGGAGUUGAAAUUACGAAUAUAAUUGUUUGCAUCUUUCUAGUUGUCAUCUGUUCGUGGUGUGGCGUAUCUCCCAAUUUCCUGGGAUAGACGCCACGCCUCUCUCCUCUCACGUGAUUUCACCAACAUGGCUGCCUACAUCACAAUGCCUUGUCGAAGUUCUAAUUCGUAGAAUAUAUCAG